AACACUGUUAACCUGCGGUACCUGCGGAAGGAUCAUUACCGAGUGCGGGCCCUCUGGGUCCAACCUCCCACCCGUGUUUAUUGUACCUUGUUGCUUCGGCGGGCCCGCCAUUCUGGCCGCAAAGGGGCACCUGCCCCUACGCCCGCGCCCGCCGAAGACAUCUCGAACUCUGUCUGAAGAUUGAAGUCCGAGUGGAAUUACAAAUUAGUUAAAACUUUUAACAACGGAUCUCAGAUCGGA
rnacentral:misc_RNA from 1 species